rnacentral:misc_RNA from 1 species
AAAGUCGUAACAAGGUUUCCGUAGGUGAACCUGCGGAAGGAUCAUUAAUUAUCGGUAGUUUACUACCGUUUGAAGGGGGUGGAAAGUUUCCAGGUCUUCCUGGGGGUGAGUACAUCCUAUUCUUAACCCUUGACUUUUUGCGCACUCAUGUUUCCUCGGUGGGCUUGCCUGCCGAAUGGACAAACCAAUAACCUUUUUAAUAUUUAAUCAGCGUCUGAAUUAUUUUAAUAAUUACAACUUUCAACAACGGAUCUCUUGGUUCUG